UGGGGAAUAUUGGACAAUGGGCGAAAGCCUGAUCCAGCCAUGCCGCGUGUGUGAAGAAGGUCUUCGGAUUGUAAAGCACUUUAAGUUGGGAGGAAGGGCAGUAAGCGAAUACCUUGCUGUUUUGACGUUACCGACAGAAUAAGCACCGGCUAACUCUGUGCCAGCAGCCGCGGUAAUACAGAGGGUGCAAGCGUUAAUCGGAAUUACUGGGCGUAAAGCGCGCGUAGGUGGUUCGUUAAGUUGAAUGUGAAAGCCCCGGGCUCAACCUGGGAACUGCAUCCAAAACUGGCGAGCUAGAGUAGGGCAGAGGGUGGUGGAAUUUCCUGUGUAGCGGUGAAAUGCGUAGAUAUAGGAAGGAAAACCAGUGGCGAAGGCGACCACCUGGGCUCAUACUGACACUGAGGUGCGAAAGCGUGGGGAGCAAACAGG
rnacentral:rRNA from 1 species